ACGAUGAUGGUGUAGGGGUUAGCAUUACUCCCUUCCACCCUUCUAAGUGAAAGAAGGAGUAGACCCGUGUUCGAAUCACGGUCAUCGUA